UUGAUAUAUUCCACUUGAAAUCAGACGAUGAAAGGGAAAAUUCUGAUAGAGGGGUGUGAGAGCAACUAACAGUCCUGAUAUUCAUGUAUUUUGGUGUUUGUUUUGUUGUACAGUAUAUUCUGGUUUUGUUAAACUUAAUAAGCCGCUAAGCGUUUAUAAAGUACCAAUGCUCCCGUGGUUUCUAUGUGCUUGGGUUAUGGCUCUAUUCUCUUUUAUGUCCUCCAAUGAGUAGAAAAAAGGUGAAGAUUUUGUAAGAAUUGUCAUGUAUAACACUUUAGGUGGAGAAUUUGUUAAAAUCCUGUAAAAGUUGCUUAGGUCUCCUUUGCUUUACAUGGUCCAAUAGUACGAGGAGGUACGGGGUCAUGAAAAUAAAGAUUCAGACUUUGGUAAUGGAGUGAAAAGAAGGUAAGGAUGCACGUAGAAAGUGGGAAUUGGAAGAUAUAGGAGCAGGUGAGGAGGAGGAGAGGGUAAAAUUUGUAUGAUGUGCUCACUCAAAAGGAAAGAAGUAUUCAACAGUAGGUUGUUUAGUUCUUAACUGCACUCAAGCUUUUCCAAGAGCUUGUUUUUCACUCUUAACCUGGCUAUUGGUUGCUGAGAUUGACAUAUAUUUAAUUUCUGGCAGUGGUAUUGGUUGAGAUUGAAUUUUAUUGGUGAUGUUUCAUUAGCAUAUGUUCAUUCUCGGACGUUUGUCAUCUUUCCAAUAUUGUGAGAUUAGAAUACAAUCCAUUUCCGAUCAUCUCUUUUAGCUGCUUAUGUUGCAAUAAAGCAUCAUGAUAAUGCGAUAAAUAUCAUGUGCAGCUAUGUCAUGGGAAUUGGUGAAGAGAAACUGACUGUGGCACUACCAUAAUUACCUUUGAGGAAUACCUGGUUGUGCUAAGUCGGCCCUGUGCGAGGAUCUAUCGAGUGCCCCAGGUUCCAUCUCUCUCCGAUUCGCUCACGAUUAGUUAGUUAAUUCGCAAGUGUAAGGUUAUCCGAUGGCUGAGUCGGAGCAUGAAAUAGCACAUGUUACCCGUGACUUGGAAAAAGAUUUUGAGUUUAUGGUAGGAAUGGUUUUUACAAGUGAACUUGAAGCAUAUCAUAAAUAUGUAGCCUAUGCUAUAGGUAAAGGAUUUGGAGUGAGGAAGUCUAAGACUAGAAAAAACGACAAAGGAGAAAUAACUCGACGCACUUUUGUGUGUAAUUGUGAGGGUUAUUCUGCCAAGUCGUCUGAACAAGAAAGAAAAUAUGAAAGACUUGAAGUGAGAUGUGGCUGUCCUGCAUUUAUCAGAUUUAAGAUUGAGAAUGGUAUUUAUGAAGUCAUAGAGUAUGUUCCUGAGCAUAAUCAUGGAUUUAUACCUGAACAUCAAAGGCACUUGAUAAGAUGUGGAAGAAUGAUUUCUGAUACUUGCAAGGGUGUUUUGGUGGACAUGGCUAAGGCUGGUAUUGGAGGGACCAUGGCAUAUAAACUCUUGGCAAAUGAAGCAGGAGGAAGCCAAAACUUGGGUUUCAUCCUACGUGAUUGUCAAAAUUUUUUGCAAAGUGAAAGAUUGACUCAUAUAAGUGGCGGAGAUUGUCAAAGUCUUCUGAAUCAUUUUCAUUGCAUGCAAAUGCAAAAUCCUAUGUUUUUCUAUGCACAACAGGUAGAUCAAGAUGGUAGAUUGACAAAUCUAUUUUGGAGAGAUAGUUUGUCUAAAUUUGAUUAUGAUUGUUUCGGUGAUGUGGUGGUUUUUGAUACCACGUAUCGUACUAACAAGUAUAAUAUGAUAUGUGCACCUUUUGUUGGAAUUAAUCAUCAUUGGAAGAAUACUUUGUUUGGCUGUGCAUUUUUGUUGGAUGAGACCGCAAAUUCAUUUAUUUGGUUAUUUGAGAUGUUUUUGAAGUCUAUGGAAAAUAAGGCUCCAAAAACCAUUUUCACCGAUCAAGACGCAGCUAUGGCAAAAGCCAUUCGAACGGUGUUUCCGAAUACUCAACACCGUUUAUGCACAUGGCACAUUGGGAAAAAUGCCAAUCAAAACAUUCCAUAUCUUUACCACAAGUCAGAGUUCAAGGAUAAAUAUUUCUCAAAACUUAUGUAUAAGUGCAAAUCAGAGGAUGAAUUUGAAUGUACUUGGAGGAAAAUGGAAGAGGAGUGGGGUACUGAGAAUAACAGUUGGCUUCAGAGGUUAUACGGCCUUAGACAUAAAUGGAGUUCGGCUUUUGGUCGUGAAAUUUUUUCUUGUGGAAUAAGAUCAACUCAAAGGAGUGAGAGUACUAACAAUGUCUUCCAAAAAAUGUCAACUAAGACAUUGACCCUUGUAGAAUUUGUUCACCACUAUGAAGAACAGUUGAAACAUAUGAGAGAAAUUCAAGGUCAAGAUGAUUAUAAAUCUCGUGGGGCACCCAAAUCGCAGCUUGCGGAUAACAGGAUAGUGAAGCAUGCCGGUUUGGUGUAUACUCGUACCAUUUUUCAUAGGUUUCAUGAAGAAUUUCUUCAAGGUGUCUCCGAACUUGUUUCAAGUGAAGCUUUUGAUGGGGUAAUUUUGCACUACACUCUCGUACGUGAGGGGAUUACAGGUGAACAUGUUGUCAAAUUUAACCCUGUUGACUUUUCGGUUUCUUGUACGUGCAAACUAUUUGAAUCAAAUGGGUGGUUGUGUCGCCAUGCUUUGCACGUGUUGAAUAGGAAUAUAUCGGUUUCAGCCAUUCCAUCUUCCUAUAUAUUGAAAAGAUGGAGUAAGGGUGCAAAGCAAGGGUGUGUGAAUGAUGAAUCUCGUGAAAUGUCAUCGGGUCUUUCUACAUUUAAUCGAUUUUCCACGUUAAUGCGAAAUUCUUUUGAAGUGAUGAGUUUGGGAGCCCAAGAUGAAAAUACUAUGAGGAUAGCGAAGAAGAACUUGGAUGUAACAGUGGCUGAAAUUUCAGCAUACAACUCAAGUCUUGUUUUGAUAGAUGAUGCUAGUGAUGAUGAUAAUGAUGAGACUUCUUUGCCUGAGAUGCCGACAUUGGACCCCCUUCGAAAGAAAGGAAAGGGAACUACUUAUGGAAGGCUUAAAAGCUCAAGUGAGAAAAAGAAGAAAAAAUCUAAGAAAGGAACAUCCUCAAUGCUAAUAGAAAGUCGAGAGUUGGUUGUCCAAGCAACGGAGGAUGUGACUAAUUUACCAGAUUAUUCAAGAUAUUCAAAUCAGACUCAAAAUACCUUGCGUCCUACCAACAUUGGUGGUCCUAUAAUAAAUCUCAAUCUCCAUAAUCAGAUGCAACCACCAUAUAUCAUGCCGCCAGGGGGUGUAAAUGGAUUUUCCCCAUUCACUAGUCAGAUGUUGGCGUACCAUAAUAGAUCCCAUGGAAAUAUUUUGAGUCAGGGGCCAUCAAAUUUUUUUCCACAUCCUAGGAUGAAUGGAUUGAACGAUUUUGAAGGCAUAGACAAUGCACGGUCGCCUCAUAAUUCGUCGGAAGGUGGAAAAUAGCAUAAUGGAAUAUAGCAUCUAUAUGUUCCACAAGUGGUAGCGCCGCGUAUCAAAGAUCCUUAGCUUUGGGGACGACAUAGUGGUAGUAGAUACAACUUGCUCUUUUUAUGUGUAUAUGCCUUUUUCCAUCUUCACUUAUUUAUCACGAGCAGGAGGUCUCCAAGUUAAUGAAAUCGCCACUAUGUAGUUGAUCUAUUGCAGGUAGUCUAUAGCGAUGUCUAUAUGCUUGUGGCAUGAAAUGGAUGGUGAUCGGGAAGCUUCCUUACUGCGUCAAAACCGCAAUCGCAGGCUUUUGUGACGGUUGGAUCGAGGGCCAGAUAAUCCACAACCUAAGAUGGUCAUUGGAGACGUGGAGGACCAAAUUGAGACUCUAAUGCGAGUUAUGUGAAGUCGACCGUAUGAAGCAUUGUCUUAGCUUAGAUUUUUUUGCUUCUUUUUCACUCACAUUUUCUCUAGUAUAGCGUUUCUCCGACUCCAUGUCGAUCUAUUGAGUUGAUAUCGAUUUUGGCACAUCAUUUUGAUCUUAGCAGUGUUAAGGAAAACAGAAGCUAUAGAAAGGCUCAGAAUUAAGUUUGUGAAAUUAUUUGAAACAAGCAGACCUUUUGACAUUAAGUCUACAAGAAUUCUUUUUGCAUC